rnacentral:antisense_RNA from 1 species
UCUGACAGAUGUGAGAACAGGAGGGCCUCGGACGCCAAGACCAGCCUCCUCUUCCCUCCAGGGAGGCAUGGACAAUCAGACUUCUGGGCCAGGCCCACUGUGCCCCACCGCCUAUUGGAGCAGUCCUUCACCGUGACUCUAGCUGGAUGUAAUCAGGAACUCAGUGUGCACCACCUCACGUCUGGCUGUUUCUGCCUUUGUGAUGUCCGAGAGGUUUGUCCCUGUGGGUAUGCACAGCUACAGCUGCUCAUUUUCUUGGCCAUAUAGAAUUCUUGUUAUAUACAUAUUUUAUGAUUCAUAAAUGCUACUGUUGGUGAACA